GCUGUAGCUCAAUGGUAGAACAUCUGCUUUGCAUGCAGACGGUCCCAGGUUCAGUCCUCGUCAUCUCCA